ensembl:lncRNA
CGGCAUGCAUAAUGCAAGGAAUAGCUGAAUCUGCUUGUGUGUGUGACAGUGUGGCAGCAGAGGGUCAGUGAAAGAGGAGAUGGGGGGGGGUGUGGUAUGCAAGCGGGUAUCCACAAUAUCCCCGUAUACAUAUGGCAUGCUGUUCACGGGGGUCAGACUGCUUCUCUUACAGAGUAUGUGUGUGCGCAGCGGUGACAGGGGGAACUGAGCUUUUUGGACUUUGGGGUAAUAUUUGCAUGGUAGGUCAAAAACACAAGUCAAUGAAACAUCCUAUUUAGACACAGACCGGGAGGCUGCAUCUAAAAUACAGAGAUGGAGAAGAGCCUUUGGAGAGGGAGGCCCGUCGCUAAUCAUCUUUCAUUGAGGCUGCCAGAAGUCGAGCGUGUAGUGGAACACCACUGAGCCCACAUACAACCUGCUACAAGAGACAUACCAUGGAUGUGCACCACCCAUGUGCUGCACAAUGCCCACAUACAACCUGCUACAAGAGACAUACCAUGGAUGUGCACCACCCAUGUGCUGCACAAUGCCCACAUACAACUCUUUUUGUCUCAACAGCUGGAAAACAGAAUCAACAAUGUCCAGUUACUCUAGCCUAUAUUCAACCAACUUUAAAUUGAGACUGUAUUGCAUUGCGUCCUCUACUGGCCUUCUUAGUACACUGCAGGUACAGUUUGUACCUGUAUAAUGUAAUAAAGUGUGUAAUAAAGUUAGUGCGUUUUUGUUAACACUUUUACUUUGAAAAUGGUAUACAUGUAUUCGGA